GUAUCGGAUAUCUUAAUAAAUAAACAAAUAAAAAAAGUAUCGGAUAUCUCAAAGGUUUAUCCUUCAGUGAAGAGAAAUGGCAGCUGAGGCAAAUUUUGAUAGCAAAAGCAGCAGGUGGUCUUUGCAGGGGAUGACAGCUCUCGUUACCGGUGGUUCCAAAGGAAUCGGAUAUGCUAUCGUGGAGGAGUUGGCACAACUUGGAGCCACUGUACACACUUGCGCUCGCAACGAAGCUGAACUCAAUAAAUCCUUAAAUGAAUGGAACACAAAAGGAUACAGAGUAAUUGGUUCGGUCUGUGACGUGGCGUCUCGUGCAGAAAGACAAGACCUCAUAGCUAGAGUCUCAAAUGAGUUUAUGGCAAACUCAAUAUCCUUGUAAACAAUGUGGGAACAAACAUACAGAAAGAGACCCUGGAUUUCACAGAGGAAGAUUUCACAUUUCUGGUGAAUACGAAUCUUGAAUCUUGUUUCCACCUAAGCCAGCUUGCACAUCCUCUCCUAAAAGCUUCAGAAGCUGCAAACAUCAUUCUCAUAUCCUCCAUUGCUGGUGUGGUAGCUUCAAAUAUAGUAUCCGUUGUGUAUGGUGCAACAAAAGGAGCAAUGAACCAAAUGACAAAACAUUUGGCAUGUGAAUGGGCCAAAGACAAUAUAAGGACUAAUUGCGUUGCACCAGGGCCAAUUAGAACCCCUCUUGGUGACAAGCACUUUAAAGAGGAAAAACUUAAUAAUAGUCUGAUUGCGCGAACCCCUCUUGGACGGAUUGGAGAGGCAGAGGAGGUUUCUUCGUUGGUGGCAUUCCUCUGCUUACCUGCAGCAUCUUACAUAACAGGACAAACCAUUUGUGUUGAUGGCGGCUUCACCGUGAACGGUCUCUACAUAAGCUAGGCUUAUUGUGACAGUUUCAAUGUUUUGUUUAGUCUGUUACACUCUACUUGUAUUAGUUUCUGUUUAAGUUGUGGAGAGUGGAGACCCUAUAUCUGUUUUUAAGGACGUGAUAAUAACAGUACUCAGUGAUAAGUUUGUUUUUCUUGUUUUGAUUUAGUCACAUGUCCCAUGAUUCUAGGAGCAGUAUAAUCGUGGGCAGUUUAUCCUAUUUCCCGUUGGUUGUAAGGCUUUCAAUAAUAAUAAUAAUAAUAAUAGCCAUGUUUGCUUUUCAAUUCAA